UUGAACGCUGGCGGCAGGCCUAACACAUGCAAGUCGAGCGCGAAAACACUUCGGUGUGAGUAGAGCGGCGGACGGGUGAGUAAUGCUUGGGAAUCUGCCCAAUAGUGGGGGAUAACGUGUGGAAACGCACGCUAAUACCGCAUACGUCCUACGGGAGAAAGCAGGGGAUCUUCGGACCUUGCGCUAUUGGAUGAGCCCAAGUCAGAUUAGCUAGUUGGUGGGGUAAUGGCUCACCAAGG
rnacentral:rRNA from 1 species